rnacentral:rRNA from 1 species
UUUAGGGUACCUGAGAGGGUGACCCCCACCGAUGUGAUUGGGACCCCGUCCAUAAUCUUACGGGAGGCCGCAGUUGUGAAUCAUUCGCAAUGGACGAAAGUUUGACGGUGGUACUCAGCGUGGUAGAUUACGUCUUUCGAGAUGUAAAUACCUUUUAUAUGUUAAGGAUUUUAUCGUACUAGCAUAGUGAAUAAGGGGCUGCUAAUCACGUGCCAGCAGUCGCCGUAAUACGUGAGCCCCAAGUGUUAUCCGGAAUCAUUUGGUGUAAAGGGUCCGUAGGCGGUUAUAUUAGUCUCUUGUCAAAGCACCGGGCUUAACCCGGGAUCGGCAAGGGAAGCGGUAUUACUGGAGAGUGACAGAGGUGAAUGUCACGCAAGGGGUAUGGGUGAAAUUCCUUCAUAUCUUGGGGAACACCGAAAGUGAAGGCAAUUGACUGGGUUGUUUCAUACGCUUAGGGACGAAACCUUGGGUAGCGAACAGGAUUAGAUACCCUGGUAGUC